rnacentral:rRNA from 1 species
AUUGAACGCUGGCGGCAUGCCUUACACAUGCAAGUCGAACGGCAGCGGGGGAGAAGCUUGCUUUUCCUGCCGGCGAGUGGCGAACGGGUGAGUAAUACAUCGGAACGUGCCCUGUAGUGGGGGAUAACUAGUCGAAAGAUUAGCUAAUACCGCAUACGACCUGAGGGUGAAAGUGGGGGACCGCAAGGCCUCAUGCUAUAGGAGCGGCCGACGUCUGAUUAGCUAGUUGGUGGGGUAAAGGCCUACCAAGGCGACGAUCAGUAGCUGAUCUGAGAGAGCGAUCAGCCACACUGGGACUGAGACACGGCAAGACUCCUACGGGAGGCAGCAGUGGGGAAUUUUGGACAAUGGGCGAAAGCCUGAUCCAGCAAUGCCGCGUGUGUGAAGAAGGCCUUCGGGUUGUAAAGCACUUUUGUCCGGAAAGAAAUGGCUCUGGUUAAUACCUGGGGUCGAUGACGGUACCGGAAGAAUAAGGACCGGCUAACUACGUGCCAGCAGCCGCCGUAA